GGGAAGCCCUGAUCCAGCCAUGCCGCGUGUGUGAAGAAGGCCUUUUGGUUGUAAAGCACUUUAAGCAGUGAAGAAGACCUAAUGGUUAAUACCCAUUAGCGAUGACAUUAGCUGCAGAAUAAGCCACGGCUAACUUUGUGCCAGCAGCCGCGGUAAUACAGAGGGUGCAAGCGUUAAUCGGAAUUACUGGGCGUAAAGCGAGCGUAGGUGGCUUGAUAAGUCAGAUGUGAAAUCCCCGGGCUUAACCUGGGAACUGCAUCUGAAACUGUUAGGCUAGAGUAGGUGAGAGGGAAGUAGAAUUUCAGGUGUAGCGGUGAAAUGCGUAGAGAUCUGAAGGAAUACCGAUGGCGAAGGCAGCUUCCUGGCAUCAUACUGACACUGAGGCUCGAAAGCGUGGGUAGCAAACAGGAUUAGAUACCCUGGUAGUCCACGCCGUAAACGAUGUCUACUAGUCGUUGGGUCCCUUGAGGACUUAGUGACGCAGCUAACGCAAUAAGUAGACCGCCUGGGGAGUACGGCCGCAAGGUUAAAACUCAAAUGAAUUGACGGGGGCCCGCACAAGCGGUGGAGCAUGUGGUUUAAUUCGAUGCAACGCGAAGAACCUUACCUGGUCUUGACAUAUCUAGAAUCCUGCAGAGAUGCGGGAGUGCCUUCGGGAAUUAGAAUACAGGUGCUGCAUGGCUGUCGUCAGCUCGUGUCGUGAGA
rnacentral:rRNA from 1 species